rnacentral:rRNA from 1 species
UGGGGAAUCUUCCGCAAUGGGCGCAAGCCUGACGGAGCAACGCCGCGUGAGUGAAGAAGGUCUUCGGAUCGUAAAGCUCUGUUGAUGGGGACGAACGUGCCUAAUGCGAAUAGUAUUAGGUAAUGACGGUACCCAUCGAGGAAGCCACGGCUAACUACGUGCCAUCAGCCGCGGUAAUACGUAGGUGGCGAGCGUUGUCCGGAAUCAUUGGGCGUAAAGGGAGCGCAGGCGGGCAUGUAAGUCUUUCUUAAAAGUGCGGGGCUCAACCCCGUGAUGGGAAAGAAACUAUGUGUCUUGAGUACAGGAGAGGAAAGCGGAAUUCCCAGUGUAGCGGUGAAAUGCGUAGAUAUUGGGAGGAACACCAGUGGCGAAGGCGGCUUUCUGGACUGCAACUGACGCUGAGGCUCGAAAGCCAGGGGAGCGAACGGG